AUCAGUGUCCCUAUGCAUCACAGUGUCAGUGUCUCCAUGUUGCCCAGUCCCCUAGUCUCCCAGUGUCUGUGUCCCCAUGUCUCAGUGUGUCCCGUGUCACUAGGAUACAUGGGGACACUUGGAGAUAUGGGGCACUUGUGGAUACAGACAUGGGGACACUGAGAGACAUGGGGACACAGACAUUUGGGGACACUGGGAGAAAUGGUGUCACAGAUACU